AUUGUAGUUUAUUUUUAUUUUUUUUCCAUUUGCUUAGCUUUAUGUUCUCAAUUUUCUACAGUCUUCUACUUUGUAAGAGACCGAAUCCAGUCUUGUCUGUUUGCCUGUAGAGUCUGUUGGUUUUGUAUUGCAACACAGAAUGGCAAGUUGAGUUAGGACUCUGCCUGAACAGGCCUGCCCACAGACCAGCCAGUUGGUUCUAGAAUCUGAAGACGACUCAGGCAAGAGAUAGAGCUUUCCUGGUUCUCAGGAGUCAUUUAAGCCAGAUACAGAAGCAAGCAGGAGCCAGAGAAAGUCUAGAGAGCUCCUAGAUAAUCAAAAAGGCUAAAAAAAAGUUGUAUCCUGAGUUGGGUGCAGAUAGAACUGAAGUAGUUAGAUAGACCUCUGAAAUCAAAGGGUCUCUGAAUGGAAUGCUAUGUCAUGCCAUUGUUGACAUAGCGUUCCGUCUCCACACUGAUGUUUACAUGUGUAAGCCAUACAUUCUACUGCAUUCAAAGCAUUGACCUGAGAUUAUAUCAAUGACGUAGUAAGAAGGGGCACAGGGGAUAAAGGGGAAAGACUUUUCUGAUGUUAUAGCCCAACAAAAGAACUGCAAAUAAUACAAUCCUCAUGCAGCGCCUCAAGUAAGUACACCUGUGCCCUAGGCUUGCCAUUCCAUUAAUUAACUAUGUGACCUUGAACAGAUCAAUUAUCCUCUCAGAGUUUAUUUCCAGAGAAGAUCAAACUUGCAUUAAUAGUUUUCUAACUAUUAUUCUUGGAAACAGCAGGGGGAUGGAGCAAAGGAUGAAUGGAAAACUUCGCCCCCCUUUCUACUCUUGCUUAAAGCUACAGCAAUUAUAAUUUUUAUCCUUUCUAUUCAUUUACAUUUCCUCGUAAGAUUUGAUUAAAGAAAAGUUUCCACCCUCUUUGUAAAACAAUUUGAAAAUUCCUUGCCUAGAUGACUUUUAAUGAGUUUCCAAUAUAUAACCGUCUACCUAGAAGGACCUCAAGCAGUGACCGAAAAGUCAGGAAACAAAGGAUUCACGGGCCAGAUGCUUGAAGCUUGAGGACAAGGGUGUUGGCCAUAUAACACGGACCAAAUGCAAGUAAGCACCCAUUGGCAGCUGGGAAGCCAGUGGAUCUGGUUCUCCACCCUGUUUUCCCACUUCAAGUAAACUCCUACCAUUCACAUUUCUCAAGUGAUGGAUUUGCCUUACUGUGGUUAUAUAGGCCAGGUCAAAUGGGGCAAAUAUUAGAUUGUAAUUAUACUGUACCUCCAAAGCUUUAAAUGGAAAGAAAAGGACUUGAGCACAUACAUAUCUUCAUCUCACUGUAAUUUCUAGUUUAGUUAUUUAUCAAGAGUAUGAAGAAGAAAAAGCCAAAGAAGAGAGGAAAAGGUAAUCUUCUGGGUUGGUGGGCACGGAGUCACCUUUACUGGCAAAGCAGAGGGGAAGCUGCCACAGGCAUAUGUCGUUUUAUUGCACUUCACUUUAUUGCUCAUUGUGGAUACUGUAUUUUUCACAAAUUGAAGCUUUGUGGCAAUCCUGGAUCAACCAAGUCUAUUGGCG
rnacentral:lncRNA from 1 species